CAAGAGAAAACCAAGUCAGAUAAAUUUGUCACUGCAAAUAAAAAAUACAUGUAAUCAUUCCAUUAAACAUUUACUGAUUUUGUUCCAAGUAUCAUUUUAGGAGCUGGGGUUGCAAUUCUAAAGCAGAUACAAGAAGCCUGUUCCUGAAGAGUUCAGGCUUUUUAGUAACAGACAACCAAGUCAUUUCAAGACAAGAUGUGAACCCCAGAACAGUGGUAGGCACUAAAGCCUCUGUGAGACAUGAUCAUCUGGAGGAAUGGUAUCCGAAAGAAUGGCCCAAGAUGGAUGUUCCAGAAAGAGGAAGCUGCAUAAGCAAAGGCAUGGAGCUAUAACAGACAACAGCGUGCUCUGGAAAACUCAGAACACGAACUCAACGUUUCAGACAUCUGGAAGGCUGGGAGUUUCUUUCCCCUGUAUCAUUUGGAGGUUUUCCACCAAGAUAGCUGGAUGGAGGUAAGAGUUUGCUUUUGUUUUAUAGAUUCUAGAUUGUGACUUGCUUAAGUAAUCAAAAUUUUUAUGCUUCAAAUUCUUAUGUCUUUGCCCAUUGCUUAUAAUUGCCCAUCCUUUGUCUCUAAAUUUGUUAAAAUAAUAAUAAAUUUAAGUUAAAAACAUG